rnacentral:lncRNA from 1 species
AUCAGGGAAAGGCAAUAACCAUGGUGCUCAGUCUGGUCCAUUACUUCUGAAACAAACCUCUGUCAUCAGUGUGGUUCCUAUUAGCUGGAGAGCUGCCUGGAAAGGCUGUGAUGUUUCACCUUCCUCUUCAGAGCAAGACCUACAGUUGCCCUGUUGCCAUGGCAGUCACUAAAGGGAUAAGAAGGUAACUCGCACAGGGAGGAUGAUACCCCUGCCAGCUCCAGUGCCUGGAGAGGAUGAAGAGGAGGCUGUCUAAAGAUAAUCUCUUUCAUCCGUUCUCAAUUUAAAAGGCAGUCGACUGCUUCUGCCUAACUUCUCUUCAGGGAGGUUUCCACAGAUUACAGAAGUACCUUUUUAGUACCCAGGGCACAUUCCAUCCUGUCUCGAAGUCCCUUUCUUCAGCUUCUUCUAGAACUUCUGGUGAACAAGGGUGCUAAGAGCAAAGCACUUCUAAGAUUCAACCACUCAAACUCUGAAACAAAUGUUGGAGGGCUACUCCAUCCGCAUGGCCGCAACCCAACAUGGCAUUUACCUCAAAAGACCCAGUGACUGCUCCCAAAAGCAGUGUGGACGGAUUGUGGGAAGACACAGCAUGAUGGAGCUCCUGAAGUAAGAAGAUACAAGUUACGAUCUAAGCUGAAAGGCUGGUCAGGAAGGAAAGGGAAGACUGUGGCCAGGAAUCAAAAAACCUAGACAAAGAGUUGCAUGGUGGCAAACAGACUUAUAUGGGCCUGGGCUAUAGACCAGAGAGCUCACAAAAGGUGGUAAAGGACAGACCUUCCCAGUGCCCAGCCUUUUCCUGUGCUUCCCAUUGGCUGAAAUCGAAGGAAAGCCAGAAACUUGGCAUCAUGGGAUGUCAUCUGACAAAGGGAAGAAUGGCUCUGGCAUGAGGAUGGGGAAAAGGAAACUUCUGUCUUCUUGGAACACCUGAGACAAGAGAAUGAUGAAUGGCAGCCUGGAGAUCAGCCUGGAGCCACACCUUGCCCUUUGAGUAGCCUCUCCCAUGACAAUCAACACUUUUCUAGAGCCUGGUAAGGUGUGAGAGUUUAGAAUGUCCAUAGGUUAGCUAUGGUAGAGACCUGGAAGACAGGCG